GACGAACGCUGGCGGCGUGCUUAACACAUGCAAGUCGAACGGAAAGACCCUGCUUUUGUGGGGUGCUCGAGUGGCGAAAGGGUGAGUAACACGUGAGUAACCUGCCCUUGGCUUUGGGAUAACUUCAGGAAACUGGGGCUAAUACCGGAUAGGAGCUCCUGCUGCAUGGUGGGGGUUGGAAAGUUUCGGCGGUUGGGGAUGGACUCGCGGCUUAUCAGCUUGUUGGUGGGGUAGUGGCUUACCAAGGCUUUGACGGGUAGCCGGCCUGAGAGGGUGACCGGCCACAUUGGGACUGAGGUACGGCCCAGACUCCUACGGGAGGCAGCAGUGGGGAAUAUUGCACAAUGGGCGGAAGCCUGAUGCAGCAACGCCGCGUGCGGGAUGACGGCCUUCGGGUUGUAAACCGCUUUCGCCUGUGACGAAGCGUGAGUGACGGUAAUGGGUAAAGAAGCACCGGCUAACUACGUG
rnacentral:rRNA from 1 species